AAAGCACUGUCCACCGGCCCAGGUUGGAGUUUUUUUGGGGGGGCGGGGGGAAAGUCCCUUUAAGUUGCUAUUGCCAGAGUCCUGCUCGUGUCACAUGGACGUGAUAUCACUGCAGCAACACACUGUGCACACUUCUUGGCUGGAUGGAGAACAGGAAAAAGCGGCCGAGGAAAUGCGCACAGUCAUCCGACGACAAGCAGCCCCGGCGGGGAGGAAGAAGAAGAGGAGAAUACGGACUUCUGGAAAGAAUAACUGCACCUGCACUUUUUAAAAGCUAUGAGUGUGUUGGAGGAACAUCACGGUCCCGCUGAAGAUGAGGAGCGCCUUUGAGCACCGCUGGAGGUUAGUGUACAGCCGUCAAUGUGAGCGGGGCUCAAAUUAGCAAGCAGCACUGGAAUGACGCACUCCUGGAACGAAGGUCUGAGUGUGGGUGUUUGUGUACUUGUGUGUAAGAAUCCUUCACUUGAUUUGUGGAAUCGGUAAUUCCAACACCAAGCGACGAUGCAUAAUCAAUUUUAUUUGUGCACCCGUGUUGGCUGUGGUUGAUGCUUCUUUGUGUGUCUACACCCUGAACUCAAUUGUUUAUGUGGCUGCGGAACGAGAAAAAUGUGUGUGUGGGCGCGUUAGCAUGAUUCUACCUGUUGUGAAGGGUGUGCGUUCUUGUGACCACUCCUUCUCACGAUGAACUUUGGCUCUUUAUUUGGACUUUAUGUUUGCUCGCAGGCACAGUGGGGUUACAUGGAGGAAGAUGUGUAAAUGAAUGCAGUCAGGACAGUGUGAGACAUGUUCGUAGUAUUGCAGUGCGGUGUACUGAAAAUCACGCUAUACGUUUUUUUUUGUCUGCAUUUCCACACCAGAUUCCACACAAAUCAUGUUGUUAAAACACAAAAUAACUGACAUCUAGCUCAAUGGCUCUCAAACUAAGUACCACUUCAAAACUAGUUUUACCGUUUUUGCUACCUCUAGCAGCAUUAUGCAGCUCUGCAUGCGCUUUAUAAUGUUAGUUGCGCUAUUACGCUCAUGCAUGUUACACUUGCUGUAGUGUUGUUUACAAUAAACUCAACACCUACGUUCAUGCUGGCUAAGCAUUUUGCGCCAUACUGGUACAACAUUGGUUCUGUUGAUAUUGGGGAGUUGUGCAACAUAUAGGCCUACAGUAAAAAGAACAUGCACUCCAAAUCAUGAUUAAAGUUGAAAUUUUUUUUUAUAUAUACAGUAAUGAGGUUUCACUUGAAUCUGAUGCAUAAGAAAUACAACAGUUAGAAUAUAGUAGUAGCACAGAAACUUGAGUUGCUACCUCCAGCAGCUUUAUGGAGCUCUGCAUGCGUUUUAUAAUGUUAGUUGCGCUAUUACGCUCAUGCAUGUUACAAUUGCUGUAGUGCUGUUUACAAUAAACUCAACAGCUACGUUAAUGCUGGCUAAGGAUUUUGCGCCUUACUGGUACAACAUUGGUUCUGUUGAUAUUGGGGAGUUGUGCAACAUAUACAGUAAAAAGAACAUGCACUCCAAAUCAUUAUUAAAGUUUUAAAAAAUGUUAUAUAUACAGUAAUGAGGUUUCAAUUGAAUGUGAUCCAUAAGAAAUACAACAGCUAGAAUAUAGUAGUAUCACAGAAACAGUUGUUUGCAGCUUUUUAAAAAUUUUUUAUUAAAUACAGUGGAUCCUCGGUUUUUGUACGCCCCAAUUUUCGGUCAAGAUUAUUUGCCAAAAAUAUGUCUUGGUACACAGUCUCACGUUAUCGUACGGCCAAACAGUGCACCUCAACAGAUGAUGGAAGAGGAAGAGGAGAAGCUGUCCAAUUCACCAAUGACGGUUCCUGUGGCCGACUCAGUCUCUGAAGAAUGGAUAGUGGGUUCUUUUAGAGUUGGGACACAAAAGACGUAUUCCAGCCAGGGAAUCUGUGAAUCAUCUUUACUGUGUGUGUGCGGGUGCUUUAUUCAUUUGUUCAUAGAACACACAGCAUUUCUGAGUGUUACAGGAAUUGGUGCUCAACAAAGUUGCAAGUGCCACAACUUUGACAAAGAAGAUGAGAAACGCUACUGAAUUCAAAAAACAACUCGUAGCAAAGUGCGAAGGUAGCGUCUUUACAAAAGCAUUGUGUUUUAAAAAGGUAGGAACCUUUAACAGAUGUUGCAGGGGGAAUGGUUUAACAGACACAUAACAGAUGGCAAGCCGGGCCCGUGUGUGUAAUGAUUGUACCUGCUGCUGAAGCUACAGUACUGUACAGUUCAAGUGAGCAAGUGCACAGCUCCAAUCGUCUUUCAAGUUACGUUUUUACCAGACUGGAGCGAAACAGCAUCUGUGUGGUUCUUCUGUCCCUUCUCCUCUCCUCCCUCCACUCAUCUCAGUGAUUGCUACUCUUUAAUAAAGAUAAAAGUCACGUUAACUGUUCAUUUAUCCAUUAAAUUGGUCAUUUACAUGUAUUUAUAUUUGCUUUAUGAAAGUAAAAUUACAAUUAUUCUCUAUAAAAUGUGUUUUUUGUUCAUAUUUUUCGGUGUCUGGAAUGGAUUAAUUGGAUUUCCAUUAUUUCUUUCUGGAGAAAUUAUUUCGGUUUUCGUACUUUUUGUCAGACCUUUUGGAACAGACUGAUGACAAAAAACCGAGGCUCCACUGUAUAAGAUUUGAAGUGGACCAAAUGCCUUAAGGUUCUUUUGCAUAAGAUAUCAGACGACUGCGGCCGAAGAUGGCAACGACAACGCGAGAUGGGGUGAAAGUUCAUGAUGAGCAGAGGAACGGUGCGGCAUAGACACGUACGCACAUAUUGUAGGGCUAUUUCUGAUGUAUAAUGAUGAAUCAUUGUGUGUGUGUGUGUGUGUGUGUGUGUGUGUGUACUGUAAAUUCCUUAAGCUAUUUGCUUCCUGUUGUUUCAUCCACAUCUGUCACCCAUUGGAUGAGGGUUAUGCCUGUUGCCUCCUUUAAAAGUACCUUUAAUGGUAUUGCAUAAGAUGAUGAGUCACGGUGCGUCAACCUCACACACACACACACACACACACACACACACGCACGCAUAUAUAUGGAACAGUAAAUGUACAGUUCUAAUUUCAUCUUGUGGAAAAUGUGACAGGAUUCUUGAGAUUUAUCCUCAUUUUUUACUUUCAUCUGUUCUCCAGCUUCUGUCAUGUGAGCGUUGAUUAGUGUGUGACAUUUGAAUGCGUCAAUAAUUAACAUUUAUAUCCCCGCUGUUGUUCUUGAGUCACGCGCUUCAUGUCAAAAUAAACACACACUGAAGGAACAGGAAACAACUAUCAGGAGCAAAGAAUGAACAAACAGUUCAAACUAACUCUGAAAAGAUCCUGAGGACAUUUUGUACCUUGCUGGCUGUGUUGAAUGAAUAUCAGUGACAUUUGCCAGAGGAUAUUCAUUUUUAAAACAUUUGGCUAAAAGCCACAAUGGCUACGCAACACACACACACACACACAAAUUCUUUGUUUGCACCAGAUGGCGCUACUUUUUCUCGUGCAAAGCGUACAGCAAAAUUUCUCCAAUUUUACUAUUUUCUGCAAUGGUGUGUGAAAUGAUAGGUGUGUGUGUCUCCAUGGAUGUUUGGAAUGUGUAAGUAAACAAAAAACAAACAGCGAGGUUAUUUAAACAUACUGGCUUUUUUACAGGGUUAAAAAAAUACAGUGGUUGCUCGCCACCUCGCAGUUUGAAUUUCGUGGCUUCACUCUCUCGAAAAUUUGCUGUUUUGUGGUUGAAUACCGUCUAUUGUUUGUCAAAACAUACACAUGUAAGUUAAUGUUACUUAUUUUUAGGCUAAACUAAGCUUUUUUUAAGCAUAAAAAUUGCUAAAUUAACUAAAAUACAAGUACUGUACAGACUGAACUUGAAACUGACACCAACAAAAUGCAACAAAAUGGAGAGCAGUGAAGCAUACAAGCACAUUCAAGAGUCAAAUUGCAUGCUGAGUACGACAAAUUCAGACAUGUGGGCAGGUUUGCAAGUCCUCCCUGCCUCUCACGCCCCCGCUGACAGGCACACAAGCAUCAGACAACAGGCUUUUAGUGCAGGUUUCAAUGAUCCCACAACAGGCACAAUAAUAACAAAAUAAUAAUUAGAAGAACAACGCGGGCUAUUUUUGCGACCGUAAUCCGCUCCAAGAUAAAACUCAACUCUGAAUCCCUGACGUCACUUCCUGUCCUCCACACGCCCGGAACAAUUUUAUAGCAACACACACGAGCACAAACCUUAUUUUAUUAUUAUUAUAUUAUUAUUUACGUGUUAAAUGGUCUAUUUUACUAUAAUAAUAAUAAUAUUAUUGGGUCAUAUGGGUGUAAUACGAGUGUAAAGGUGACUAUGUGGGUGUUAUUUCAUGUCUAGAGGGCUCUAAUAAUUAGCUUUUCGACGGGCUAACUACAAAAAUAUAUGAUUUACAAAUAAGGAAUCCUACUUCGCAAAAAUUGACUUACCAAACGAGGGAUUACUAUAUCAUGAAUAAUUGAUUUGUAUAUUUCAGACACAAGUAAAUAUCUCUGGAAAAAAAAACUUGUUGAAAGUGUAAAAAAACAACACGUUAUAAUAAUGUUUUGUCGUCAAAAUGUCAAAUGUGUGAAUUUUUCGGGAAAACAAAAAUACACGCACACACUACGUACAGAGCAAACAGUCAACCUUAUACAUCAUAAAAAAGUUAGAUACUAUAAAACAUUUUGUGUGUGUGUGUGUGGUCGUAACCAUGUGCUUCGAUACCGACUUUGUAAUGGUACUACUCAGUUUUCUUGUCAACAAGGGGCACAAUCAGCAACGAUAAAACGGGAAAGGAGAACACUAAUUAAUGAGGUCUUAUUAAGAUUGCAAUUCAAACACCAUUAACUUUAAACUGAACUGCUUUUUUCACCACAGUACCAUCUGGUGGACAUUGUCUGGUAUUACCCCACAUGCCCAUAAUGCAAAAAUGAGGGUAAAAAAGUCUAUUAUAAAGCACUGUUGGCCAUGGCGACGUUACUUUAUUGGCGUCCCAGCCUGGAGGCCACCCAUGAUCAAUUAUAGCAUCUGAUUCAGAGGGUGUCUGCUCUUACUCUCAGCUGUUUCUCUUUCUCUUGACCUUUAUGAAUAGUGGGGAGUGCACUGUGUGGUUUACCUUUGCCCUCCACUUCCUCGUCACAAAAAAAGACUGAAACACAAACAUGGAGUCAGCAACUCUUUUUUUAGCAGGAUGAGAGGCAGGGGGUCACACGUGCGCCGUUUUCUUUUUUUAAACGCGGUUCUGACCCUGCUAUGUGUGACCAUAGAUCAUGAUCUCUUUUGGGAGACAUAGCCCUCUUUCUUUCCAGCUCGGUGGUUCUCUGAGGAGCUUUGCUUACACCUGUGACCCAGUUAGCGCCACUACACUCUGGAGACUGCGGUUGGUUAAAGGGGCAGCCCACUAAUGAUAUGCCAUAGGUGUAUCAGUUAUGAGUGUAUUCAUUUGAAUUUUUACACAAAUGUAAUGCUUAGUUGGGUGGUCAGACUUGGUUUUCCAGUCAGUCUGUCAGAAUUGUGACUGCAGAGACUAUACAUUGUCCAGUCUUCAUGUCUUUAUUGGUCAGUCGACACGCCAGUCAUAAUACUGUACAUGCAGGACCGACGAUUGGUUGGUUGCUUCACUCACUCUUGAUUGGUCAGUUUACAUGUCAGUUAUUACAGUAGUGAUUGGUCAGUUGUGUCAUUCAUUUGUCAUUGUUCAGUCUACAUGUCAGUUACUACACGUAGGACCAGUGUUUGGAUUGGUCCGUCUACAUAUCAAUCAUCAUACGUAGCACUCGUGAUUGGUCAGUUGCGUUAGUGAUUCUGCAUUAGUCAGACCACAUGUCAGACAUGCGUCAGUCACUCGUAAGUGUUCAGUCUAAAUAUCAGUCAUUACCCACACCAGUAGUGAUUGGCCAGUCAUGUUACUCUGCAUUGGACAGUCUACGUGCCAAUUACACACAGCAUCAGGGAUUGGUCGGUUUCUUUGUUCAUUCUUCAUUGGUCAAUCUUCGUGUUGGUCGCACAAGAACAACAACAACACAUCACUCGUUUGUCAUUUACGGCCCUAUGAUUUCCGCUUUAACGGAAUCGGAACUGGCCAAUAAAAACGGAAUCUACCGUUAAACGCGGAAUGUCAUGAAAAUUGACAUAAGGUGAAUGAAAUGCUGUCAUCGUGGGGAAGUAUGCGUGGGACCACUCAUUCGUGGCAGAACACUAGCUUGCCCCCUCCUGAACCGAACAGGUCGAGACGGCGACCUGAAAAACCAGCAAAGGUUACAGAAAAAACUUUGAAAUUCCUCUCUCACAGAACGUAAGUCACCUUGUCAAUCAUUACAGGGCACAAGAGGACCCUCAGUACCUGUUUGCCAGUUUACCAAAGGACCUAGGAACUAAUAUCUCAAUGUUGUAUACAAAGGUUUAUUAUUUAUUUGUUUUCUUUUUAAUUGACAGAAGAUGCUAGAUGGGUCAUUGGCUGUUUUUUUUCCCCUAAAGGGACAUCUACUGUAUGUAUAUAGCAAUAUAAGAGCAAAAAUACCAGCUUUAAAGCACUCAAACACUAGUAUGAACUCAUGUACUGAAGAAUUCUCCCUGGAUAAUUGUCACCGUCCUUGACCUUUGACUUCUGAGUGUGGACGUGGUCAAAGAGAGCAAAUGAGCAUGUCGUAUGGCUCCGGGGGUAUAGAAAGAGGAGGUUGGCAGGGCCAGUGGGACGGACCUUCUCUUUGCCUCUGGCGUCACCAUGGAGACGCUGGCUCUUUUUAUAGAGUUCUUCUCAUUCUCUUGGUUGUUUACCAUUCAGUGCACUGAAGGCUAAGUGCAAUUGUGAAGUAGUUGACUGAAGAGUUGAGAAGAUGCUUUGGGUGUGAUGUGCUGCAGGUUCAAGCACGGCACUAACACAAACUAACACUGCAAGUGUGGGUUUGAUUCUGUGUGUAACGAAAUCCUAUUAGUGUUUUAACACUUUUUCCCCCUGAGUCAUCCUCCUGGCCCUGCUGGGAUCCCAGCCAGCUGCCUGAGGUAUAGUACAGCAAUUGGCAUCACACAUCACACAUGCAUGCACACACUUGGAUGCCUUUGGCUGUGUGUGUGUGUGUGACACAUUUUUUCUUAAUUUACACCUUUCCAAACGUCAAGAGAGGCACACACCUAGCAUUUCAUAAACAAGGCACCCUUGCAGAAAACAGUAUAAGGGGAGAAACUUCACUGCAUGCUGUGAAUGGGAAAAGGUAGCACCAUCUGGUGGACAAAUAAAGCAAGGAAAAUUUGAAAGCCAAAUUGAAAAUGUAAAGAAUUUCAUUAGUUUAUGUUAAGAUAAAUGCGGGCUCAAACUGCCGUUUUCAACAAAUUUUUGUCACAAGAAACCGAUUUUUGUAUUAGAAAACCGUUAUUUUUUUUGUUUCGCUCUGCCAUUUUAGGCUAAUUCAGGGGCAGAUAAUGUAAGAUAGUUCUGAAAUGUGUUAAAAAUGGAUAUCCUCAUGCUAGUUUCGCCGAUAAUUAUUCAACACCACCACCUCUGGCCCUCGGUUUGUUUUUUUAUUGGCCUGCGGCACAUUGUAGAAACAAUAUUAAAUGCAAACUGCAAAAAUUGGAAAAAUAGAGCAAAAACACUGAAUGUAAAGAGAAAAAGCUGAAAUGUUGAUACUAAUAACUAAUAAUAAGCCAAACCUUUGAAAAAGUACCGGUAUAUAUUUUUUUAAGCUUUAAUAAAAAUGUAAAAAAUAUGUAAGGAUAACAAAGUGGACUCUGGCAUCCUUUCAUUUUUCAAUAUGCCCCCCGUCUUAGGCUACCUAUAACUUACUCUAACACAUUCAAAAUAAACAGACAUACCUCAAGUGUGUGACAGAGCCAAUCGAUCAUCGGCUCGUCUGUGGGUGUGCGCUUCCUCCUCUUUACUCACAUUUUUUGGCUUGCUUCAUGAGAGACACACCUACUUUGUUUUGUAGGACAGGACACACACAGAGGGAGAGAGAGAGAGAGGGAGAGAGAGAGAGGGAGCAGUGUGUAACUGUCAAUGUCAGGCUAUGCUGAGAGUCUGGAACUUCAGUCCCAUUUAGAGGCCAGCGUGUUAAGAAAAAGGGAAGAUGGAGACAUAAAUGGAUGCAGAAUUUUGGAUUUGUGAAGAAAAAGGGAGCGCUUGUUAAUAAAACAGGAGAGGAUACAUACCUACAGGUAUACAUGCCUUGUACAGUAAGUGAAAUGGACUUUACUUUUUUCGCUGUGUGUUUUUAAUCACAUAAGUGGUCACAAGGUAUUAUGUAUGUGGUACGCACCUGAGGUUUCCCUCCCACACUCCUAUCAGGAAAGUAACAGGAGCCGCCUUCUUCUUAUCCAAACUUCCUGCCAUAAACAGUUGCAUGUUUUAGUAAUUGAGGUAGAUAGACGCCACACACACACACACACACACACACACACACGCAGAUAGAAAUUUUGAUGGACAGUUGAAGGUUGAUUGUGCCUGCAUGUGGGGGAAUUUUGGGGAGUCAUAGUCGUAGUCUACAGCAAUCCACCACAAAAGUAUUGGGGGGAGGCACCUUGAUAGGAAGCGAAUAUGGACGAAACUAUGAAGUUGGCCGCUUCUUUGCAGGGACAACAUUUUGCCUGGUGUGGGUGGUAUUUCUGUCCCAUUCAUCCAGAAAGUGCAUUUGUGAGGUGAGAGAGGGGGCCUGGUUCUGCUCAAAGCUCGUGUUUGAUGAGCUUCUUCCACACCAAACUCAUCCUCCCGCCAUGCUUUGGCGCAGGCGUGCUCGGUCACUCCGGUUAUUGCCUUUGAAAGCUUUGAAUUGUCAUACAUAGCAAAAGCUUCAUGGCUUACAUGGACACGGCUUAGCACCUAAUUCGCAAUAAGUUAGUGACCAUUUGUAAAGAUGAUAAAACUCGUUCCAGGAAUGUUGGCAUGUCUUCCAAAACGAGUGCCUACAUUUACAAGUCAUUUUCACUUUCACGUCUGUGCAGCCACAGUAAACGAAGCGACUCCCUUUGCACUAGAAAAUCACAAAACGAAAAUCAAGUCUUAGUAAUGUGAAGCAUGAUAUCGAAUAAGUCAAUCACACAGGGACUUUUUUGUGCAUUGGGUGUAAGAUGAUUAGAUUGAAACUUGGACCAAACCACUGGUAUUGUCUGUCUAAGAACUUGGGUAGGGAAUUUCCACUGGCAUUGAAUGCAGCGCCUGGUGGAUAUCUCAUGAGUUCAUCACAUCCAUCCCAUUCCUUCUUCUUGCUCAUACCUGACCAUUCAUGGGUGUUGACGUGAGCCUGCCUUUGCAUCAUUUCCUGCCGGUGUGCAUGGGCAGCAAGCUGGAGCCACCUUACGGCACUUUUGUUUGAGUUGGAAGCUAGCAGAGAGUUUGUGUGUGGACGUUAACCUGCUGUGGGAGAGGGGAUCGUACUCUGUAGCUCGAGAGAGGCACUUGCAGACCUCUGCCAAGGCGGAAAAGAUUGUGGUCUGCAUAUCAACACAAAGGAUGAAACCAAGGCCAAGAAGUCUCAAGAGGGAGUUAUGAAAUAAGCGCUAUUCACACCAAAAGAUACCUCAAAAAAUACCUGGAACAAAUGUGAACAAAUGCUUGCAGCAACACUGUAGAAAUGUGAACGGGUGCUAGAUAUUGUCGACCUGACCAUACAAUUUGCAUUUUGUAGCAUGGGGUUUCCACAAAGACGAAAUGCAUUUUUAUUUCCGAUAUGCACAAAAUUCUAUGGGCUCUUGCUGUGCACAAUGUUUCAUGGGUAUCAGUGUUGGAGUUGUGUAAUCUUGCUAACCAAAUUGCAGACAUGAAUGGAUGAAUGGAUCAUGACAUUGAAGUUAAAGCUCCCCUGUUAUGCGUAAUCUACUUUUUAAUGAUGUUAAAACAGUCCCUGGUGCCUGUUUAUUAGCACCAAACAUGGGAACAAUCGAUCAUCUCCCUCGCUUGUUUGCGCCACGUCUGACAGGAGGCGUUCAAAUGGUCGGUAUUGCCGUUACAAGUUGCAUAUAUAACAACCACUUCACGGAGGACGACUUUGUGAAAGAACAGGCUUUGCUACACAUCUUAAAAGCCUAAACUGCCUAAAUCCCAGAAUUAAGGCUAUAAUAUGGGCAACCCAUUUGGACUGGAUCCUUUUGAGAGAUGAUUCAGGAGUACUCGUUGUCCAUUGCGUGCAUCAGUACAAUCACGUGUGCAUAUUUAGUGGCCAGUCUAAAAAUGGCCUUUAUCUUUUGUGGUUGAGAAGAAAAUUUCCAGCAAAAAUCAUACAAGAAAUAGUCACUGGUAGCUGUUACAAUGGCAGUAUUUUACUAAUAACUUAAGAGACCCUCAUUAGAUGCACUGCACAAUGUAUCCAGUACACAUAUAACACUACUAUUGGAAGCCCUUGUGUACUUCAUGAGGUGUCCGGUGAGAGUAUUGGUGGCGGGGUUUUCAUGCCUGCUAUCCUGGUCGAAAGUUGUUGCAGAGGCAGCAUACAAUUUAACUAUUCCAGAUGAAGGUUGCUGAUAAUAUACAGUAUGAUACAUAGACACAACUCUGCCUCAUGACCUUUGUUUUGCUUCUCAAUUGUACUAUUUAACCGAGAGAUGCCCAAAACUGUUCUUGACCUCUCGCAGUGGCUGUAACUCAGUCGUCGCUGCUGUGUUGCUAUUGUUGUAAAGUUCAGUUGUAGAGCUCAUAAAAAAAGUGUUCUCACAACAAGAACGGUACACAAAAGCAAGCACAAUAUUAGUGCAGUGAUAUAUUGUAUGGAUUCAUCCAUUCAUUUAUUUUCUGUACUAUUUAUUUUGGUCAUUCAGGCUCACUUUGGGGUUACGAAGUUGGAUUAACUUGCUCUACAGAACACCCACUCUAAAAGGGUGUUUUGCUGAAUUGCUGCAAAAAGUGGGACACGCUUUUAGGGGAGUGAUGAGCAUGUGUAAAAUUUGAGCAAGACCGGCUGAAAAACAUCACCCUAAACGUCUCUGCGGGGGCAACUAAUUGCCCAUCAGUCAUAGACCAUUUGUUUAAUUAUUCUAAAACUUUGAGGAUAUCUGUGUUACAUGUAUGCUACCAUGUCUUCCAAAGCGUUUUGACCACAACCCUUGGCGGGCGCCACACAGGUCACUUACAGUCAUUUGAAAAAAUUAGGACACCCCAUAUACUCGGCAUGGGCAUCAGUGAAUUCAUCACUAAAACUUCUGUUGGUUGUGCAAUUGAUUAAUCAUGUCGUGACGUAAUUUGGGCAAAAUUGCAUGCACUACUUGCCUGUGAGCAGCAGAGGCACUGUAGAUUCACACUAGUUUGCCGUGUAAACGACAAAAUGACAUUCAUUGAAAGGAAAGAUCACAGGUUUGAAUCCUGCCGCAGACUAAAAAUACGCUAAUUGACGCUGGUCAAAAGUAGUAAUAAACAAGCGGCCCAGGAGAGCAUGGAUCACAGGUUUGAAUCCUGCGGCAGACCAGAAUGUGGUACCUGGAAAAUGUGAUGCUAGUCUUCUUUCGGAGUACCAAAUCACCCAUACUGCCCACUGUUGCACCGCCUCAUCUCUCCCUUGCCUGCAUAUCCACAGAAUCAGUCUGUAAAUGUCUGUUUCUACCUGUACUACCUGUAGUGUGUCUGCAAGGUUUACAACUGUAGUGGGCAGAUGAGGCGGACAUUUUUGAUGAGCACCGACACAAACCUGCACCCACGUAGCAUAGCUGAGUCAUAGGUCAUAAGACUGUAACGCAAUCGCUCGUUAUCAGUUUUAUGCACAGUAUAUUACAGUACAGUAUAUGAUAACAAAAACACUAAAAAAUUCAGUAAGUCAGAACCUGCGGCACACUUGCUGACAUAAAGUUAUGGUGCACUGUAUAAUUAAUGCGAUUGCUCCGCUGUGCGCUAUACAGAGAGCAUGGGAGAAUUUUAAACUUGCAACCAUUAGUGACGUGGGGUGAGGUUUAUGGCUGUUAAGGCACUGACUCCUUUGGAGCUUUUUUAUGUUAAUACCGAUUUCUUAUUAAGAGGAUAACCAAGAAAAGACAAGCAUAAUUCAGUUUAGUUAUCAAAAAAAGUGUUCAAAAUGUUUUCAGAUACGUCUUAGACCCAUUUAUUUAUUUAUUGGUAUAAACUGACAAACAUUUGUGUUCUUACCUUUUAUGUGUAUAUGAAGUACAUGCAGCCUUUCCUUUUCCAGGAAAAGUGCUGAUACUUUGUUGUAAAACUCUGAUCACCUUCUGGUGAGCUUAGAUAUACGAUCCACCAUCUUGGCAGCCAAAGUUUUUUUCUUUUCACUAAAUAAACACAACGGUGCGUGUUACAUGGCAAGUAAAAUAGUGCCGAACAGUGCGUGUAAUAUGGCUAGUUAAACCGUAGCCUACCAGGAAAAGUCAUCCAUCGCCGCCGUCCUUCUCCUGGGAACAAAAAUUGUCUUCUUCAGCAUCACAUUUGAACAGCCUCACAAUUCCUUCGUCACACACACUUUGUCAGUCUCUCGCUCUUUUUUUCGUUGGCACUCUUUGUGUCACUUUAGCUUUAGCUCUUCAUCACGCAGUAGUCAAGCCUUUCGAAACCCGUUAGAGAUAGUGGAGUAGCCCAAACAAGCUGUAGUAAUUCCACACUUGAUCAAACUUACUUGAGAUGUGUCAGAGAUCGCUGCAUAAGACAUCAAAACGUGAUAUUAGCUUUCACUUCACUCACCCACGUCCUGAAGCUGCACUCUGAGCAUCAUGGGAAAUGCCAUUUUUAGCCAUAAAUUAGCCGCAUCACUCUACAAGCCACAGGGUUCAAAGCAUGAGAAAAAAGUAGCGGCUUAUACACCAGAAAUUAUGCUAUAAUGAGUGAGCUACCUCCAGUAGCUUUAUCUACCUCUGCAUGCGCUUUAGAAUGUUGGCUGCGCUAUACUGAGCUAUUGGUGUGAAACUCGUGUGUGACACUUGGCGCAUUAUUUCAUUAUUAUACAAUAAACUCUUCAGCACUAUUAAUGCUGGCUGACAAGUUUGCUCCUUACCACUAUUACAACACUGGUUCUGUUGCUGCUGUGUUGUGAAAUAUAUUUGUUAAAAAUGACCACGUGGUCAGAGAUUGCUACAUUUUGCUUGACACCUUGUCAUGUAUUUUACCGAAUAAAAAGGGUUAGGGUUAUUCUUUUAAAUUCAAUAUGACCCAACAUGUAUUUCUAUACAUUUGUAUUUUUAAUAUAGUAAAGAAACCAGUUUGCAGCUUCAGAUGUAAUCUGUCACCCACAGAGCAAAUAGCAUUAACAGCAAUUUAUGUCAAAACUAAUUCAGUUUAUGACUCACAAAGUGACUCAUUCACAUCUGCCCACACACACACGGGGCACGUAUUAGCUUUGACCUGAACCUUCCAAAGAUGUAAUUGCAUGAACUGUGUUCUGCGUCAAUCAAAAGGCACUAGACACUGUAGAGCGUGAAAGACAGUCAAAGGAGCGUUACUUCACAUUGCAGUACUGCCAAGACACAGAUACCGACGCUGUGACUUGAUAGCAACAUGAUGAAAAAGUGUAGGAGCAGUCAGAGCUAUUGUAAAUUGUCAAGUCCUUGCCUCCACGCCAAUAGACACCGUUUGAGUCUACUUUAACAAGUAAACAACACGGACGGGAUAACUCUUCAGGUCAGAACUCCGCUGUCCCCGCACUUCAAAAGAGAAACAGCACUCUUUUGAGGACAAAAAUGUACAUAUUCUGGACAGAGAAGACGCUUUGAAAGAGGAGUGAGUGAAGCCAUCUAUGUCAAGGUUGAAAAGCCAUCUCUGAACACAGGGGGAAGUCUACGGCACUACCUCUCCCACACAUACAAUGCUGUCCGUAUAUCCCUUCCGAAAAGAUUCAAACAUUUAGCCUCAAAUAAAUAAACACGACACAGCCACUUUUAGUCGUCAGGUACAUCCAUGCCCAUUGUUACGACUGAAUGGAAUGCUAACGAAGGUGAUUCCACCCAAACUAGUCAGACGCCUCACUUCACUGUAUCUUAACUGUUGUUUUGUGUCCCCAAAAGAGUGAAAUCAAUCUUGGUUGGUGUGUGCCUCUACCUUACAGAAUAAAUACUUACCUAUACCCUUCCCUUGGAUUAGAGUUGCCACAUCUAGUCUUCGAGCAAGAAGCCUGCUUGGAUGAGUGGCAAAACAUUUUCGAAGACAACCUGAACCUGAACGUCUUACCUCACGUAGACACCUUUUUUCUGGAGUUACUUUUGCCGCAUUUCCACCACGUGGUACUGUAUUCGGUUUGGUCCAUUACACCGUUUUGUAUCCUCAGGAUGCCGAAGUUGCAUGAGCUCCGGGAAUUCUAAGAAAACAGCAGCAAAAGAAAUCUGCUAUUAAAACACAUUUGACACUUGUUAAUGGCAAUAGCUGAGUUAGAGGUAUCAUUGUGGUCAGCAUCCCACAGCUCUAUCUACCUCUGCGUGCACUUUAAAAUGUUGGUUGCGCUACUCAUCUGUUGGUGCGAAGCUCAUGCGUGUUACACUUGUCCGACUGGUUACAAUGAACUCAUGAGUUGUAUUAAUGGUGGCUGAGCAAUUUGCUCCUUACCACUAUUACAACAUUGGUUCUGUUGCUGCUUUGUUGUGCAAUAUACUUUUUAAUAAAUGACCUCGAGGUCUAAGAGAGCUAUGUUUUCCUUUCCACUUUUUCGUGCACUCCAAAUCAUUAUUCAUGUUGUUACAUAUCACGAGUUUUUAGAUUUUGGAAAUAUUAACCUCUCUCACACAAAACACCUUAUUUCAAAUAAAUGGCUGGUACUCUCUGGAUUUGAGUAAGGCCAGUUUUUAAGGAAAUACUGUAAAUGGGAUGUACAUGAAAUUCAGUGGAACCCGUUGAAGUUGACACAGUUUCUGGCUUUCGUGCAUGCAAAAGUCUUUCUUGCGGUGGCUAACAUUUUGUUGGUCGCAGUUGAGAAUCAAGGUUAAUACUGCAGCGCUUUUAUUUUGAAGCUGACUUUGCACUGAACAGGAAGUCACAGCCUGCUGUGUAACUGGACAGCAGUUAUGUCACUGUUGUCGUUUUCAAGCGACAAUGAUGACGUUACCAAUAAUACAACACGUCGACAUAAACAGAGUCAUUUUUCAUGGAAAUGAUCCCUUCGGCUCUCAAAUUUGACGUCAACAAAAGCAGUCGAUCAUGUACAGGUAUACUGAAGUGGUUACUUUUUAGCAAUAAGAAGAUAACAAUGGACCGGUACUUGAUCAGUCGGCCGAAAUAAACGGGACCAAUUUAAAGGGUUCUAAUGUAAAACACGGGCUCAGCGUUGACCUACAUGUUGGAUUUGUCGGUUUGGACUGAUGCUUUGCGUCAGCUGCUUAUUUGCCAAACGGGAUUGGGAAGCGUGGAUGGCUCCCGUCCACUGCGGUUCUGUACAAAACAUUUGUCUUCCAGUCUAGUGCAAAUGAUGACUCACGCGGAUCAAUUUAUCAGCAAAAAGAGAUAUGGAGGUUCAACGCUCGCUUUAUGAAAGAGCACCGUCUAUUUGCACACAGGCUUUAUUUACGCGCAUGCCAAGAGACCAUGACGUGGCUCUUUCACUCGCCCACACUUUCAAAUAAAAACGCCCACCACACGAUCUGAUGCCAAGAGGGCCAUUAGGGAUGAGUGUUUUCACGAGGAGAUUUUGUCGAGUCAUGGUGACGACGCACAGGACAGACCGGAGGCUCUCUUGACCGUCUCUCUCCAGCCAUUUGGAGAAUUUUGUAAAAGAAGCUGACGUUUUUGCUGACUAAUUCUCAGCCAAAAUGCAUUCAUCUUGCUCCUUGCGUUUGCAUUUGGCGCCAUGUUUCCAGUUAAAAUGUAAUAGUGUUAUGUUUUCUGACUCACUGUUUUGCAGGCUUCAGAAGUAUGUCACACUCAAAACAAGUGGAGUGUAAUAUAAAGUGGUCUCUGAGGGGUUUUAAUCAUGGUAGUGUGUGGUUAUUGGCGAAGAAAUGACUAAAUAGCUGGCUUUACUGUAAGUGGGUGAUGUGUCAUGAUUAAGUCAUGACCUCCCCCCCCCCCCCCCCCCACACACACACACACACACACUCGCUUUUCCUGUUAACUUCGGUUCUACAAGCAAGUUAAAAAAAAGUCUGCUAUUUUUACCCCUGUCUUGAAAUUGGCUCAUUAAGAGGAGCAAAAGGCCUUUCAGCAUCACCAGACGAGAGAGCGGUGAUGCAUUCCCGGAACCGAGCCCAAACAAAGCCAGAUGUUUGAAAUUCUCCAGAAGGAGGAGUUUUGUUUGGUCCGCUGGAAAAUUGUGGUGAGGACAAAAAUACGUCAUCUUUGUUUGUGUUCUGGAGGUACGGGAACUCAUGAGGCUGAUCUAGUUGUUUUUCUGAGUGGGGCAGUGUUGUGCACUCACAGGAGAAUAAAAUGUUGGGAUUAUUACUAUUAAAACCAGACGUUCACUUUUUUCCUACUGUUUUAUGAAGGACAAGAACUCAAGUACGCACCUAAAAAAGACAAAACCACAAAUCCUACUUCCCAGCAUUCCACGGCAACGUCGUAAUGUCUUGGAAGUGACCCGCUGCCAAAUUUCAAACAAACACAGAAUUGAUUGUAUUACAACAGGUGCACUGAAAGUUGGUUUUGGAAAACUCAUGCGGGCGGGGCAAUGGCACCUGCACAAUCUGAGAACUGCAUUUAAAAAUAUCUACCUUUACAUGCAGUAUUGAUUGAGCAGUAUAUUUCUUUAGUAUAUUGUUUUUCAAUUUAGAGUAAAUGCUCCAAUGACCCCCUCUAUAAUGGCAAAGUCUCCUACAGUCUGUAAAAGCAAGGGGAAAAGUCAAUUCCCAAAGUGUUUACAUGCACGGAUGAAGACCGCUGCGACGUGAGAGAGUUAGCAUCGCAUCGGUCUUCAUCCGCGCAUGUCAACCCUGUGAAACGCACACAACAAUGGACAAGCGACGACGUGCCGCGAUACGAACAGAGAGAAAAUAACUGGCUUUUUUUGCGGGCAAUGGUUUUGCGAUGCAAAUGUGUUACUCUUUUGAACGCAUAUUGUUUUGAGAAGCAAAACGCUUACCUCAGGAGACCCCAGCAACUAACUAACUUACUAACUAGGAACUACUUUCCUCCACAACACGGCUCAAAGUGGGGGAAAAGUCACUGUUGAUGCACCACAAUGCUGAUGGGGAUGUCAUCCAACUUCAUGUCAAAAAAUCCAAACUAUCCCUUAAAUGAAUACAUCAUGCUGUUUUUAUGGUUGAAUAUGGCCCAUCACUAAUAAAAGUAUGUAGAUUUAAGCACUUUUUUUUCCUAAAUUAAGCAUUUUUAAGCAUGAAAAUGGCAAGAAGACUCAUUCAAAUUGUUAUAUGCAGUAUUAUAGACUGGUCACUAAGUGGCAGGAGGUGAAACAUACAAGCGUCAGACAACAGGCUUUUAUUGCAGGUUGGAAUUAUCUCACAACAGGCACAAUAACAUUAUAAUAAUAAUCAUAUAAUCACAAUAACACAGCCUACCCUUGCUGCUGGAAUCAGGCUAAAACGCAACUCUGAACUCCCAACAUCACUUCCUGUCCUCACGUCCACAGCACAUUUAUUCCAACACACACAAGCACGAGUUUUAUUUGACUUAUUAAAUUAUUUAUUUUCUCUAAUUCUAUCUACUAUAUCGGGUGAUACGAGCGUAAAGGUGACCGUAGGCUAUUGUGUUAUUAUUGUGCAUGGCAUUUGAAAAAAAUGGACGUCAUGACGCUCCCUAUUCAGAAAAAAUACGAAAAAUCUAUGCGCGGUGUUUAGCAAUCGGCUUGAGUCUUCUCAUAUGAUCCUUUUGUUUAACACUCACUAUUGUUUCUCUCUGAGCUGCAGGGUUGGCUGCAAACAAAUGAGAUCGUAUCACAAACGGUCACCGGAGACGCAUGCAGAAAGCAAUGCCAAGUGUGAACACAUGUACUCAGAUGUGAUCAGGUCUCAGUGACGUAGACACCUCUAGGGGACCUCACAUGUUCGGACAAAAAGACACAGUUUGUUGUCAGAUUUUAUUUUUAAAAAGGUAAUGGCAGCCACAUAGGGGCACCUCUUUCAGGGAAAAAACAAGCAACAAGCUUGCUAUCUCAGUGUGUCCACAGUCUGGAAUUACUUCCACAUUUCACAGCUUUCCAAAUUGUAUCAUUGCCAGCAUUAUUUAAUUCGAUUCUUAUUUGUGAAUUUAUGUCCCAGUUGUUGAUAGUAGGAGAACAUGUUAUUUUUGUUGACGAUUGAGCAUGAUUUUUUUAAAAGACUGUUUUGUUGAGACAAAAAGUUUAAAAUAAUUCUAUAACUUAUCAAACAACACAGUCUUUCCUAUAGUCGUCUUUUUUUUGUAGUACUUCUGUAGUUCUAGGGCAUUAUCUCACUCAGUUUAUUAAUGAGGCAUCUAGUAAACCCACCAUUUGAAGAAAUGGUAUGUUGUGUUUUUAUUGGAUUUAUUGUGUUUUAUUGAUUUUAUGUUGCGCCUUCUGAUUACCGGUAAUUUGGGGAUGCCAUCUAUUGGAGUGGAGGUCAGUAUCUGUGGAAGUACAGCAUGCUGUAAGAUUGUACAUUGUACUUCUGGAUUAAUUGAAGUUGGGUGUCCAUUACAAAGGCCAUUAUUUGAAGAAUGACAGUAUGCUGGGUUUUAUUGAGAAGACUCUAUUUUUUAUCUGGUGACUGAGGUUGCGCGUCUAUCGGAGUGGAGGUGAGUAUUUGAGGAAAUACAAUAUGCUGUGGUUUAAUGACAAAAUUCUAUGUUGUAUCUGGUGAUUAACGGAAGUUGGGCAUCUAUUAAAGCAGAGGCCAUCAUUUUGAGGAAAUACAGUAUAUUGUGUGUUUUACUGGCAAAUUGUUAUGUUGCACUGAUUGGCGCAUGGCGUCUUUUAGAGCAGAGACCAUUAUUUGAGGAAAUAGGGCAACAGCAAUUCAUCACAGGGUACAACUUCAAAUCUUAUCACCCGAGGAGUAUGUUGUGUUUUAGUGACAGGAGCCCACCUCGCACCUGGUGAUUGAUUAGAGCAUGGUGUAUAUUGGAGUGGAGGCCACUAUUUGAGGAAAUACAGUAUAUUGUGUUUUAAUGUCAACUAGCAGGACAUCAGAUCAAUUUCAUUCUGUCUGGCUCACCGUAAAGGCCAUUCUUCGCCAUCUACCGUCUCAUUCUUGUCAGGGCGCUCACUGCUGAUUGCAGAAAGUGCCGCACGCCACAAUGCGGUCUGCCAAACAAAUACAUUUCUAUAGGAUUGAACAGUUCAGCCCAGGUGGAGGUCCGUGCUCUACUGAGAAUUUUGUAUUGCUUAUGGGGCGCAAAAGAUUGUUUCGCAAAUUCUACCAAGCAUUUUUGUACAAAUUAAAUUAAAUAGGACGGUAUGAGAGAUUACUGGUAUGUAAAAUUGUGAGGCCCAAAUACAGAGCAGUUGUACAAUCCAAGAUUGAUCUGUUCCGCUCCCAUCAGCAGCCAACCCCGACAUUAGCAUACCUCUGCACGCUGUGGCUCAUGCCCAGCUCCUGUUAGCGCUAACUCUGCAUGACCUCCACGUGAACCAUGCUACUUGGGACCUUUUCCACACUCCCUCAAUGCGCCAUUAUAGCUGAUGUCAUUGCUGAGAGCAACAGUGGUGCCCUGCACCUGACAUGUAUCCAUAAAUGAAAGGAGAUAACAAGUCCCAUGUAGCCAUAUACCUGUAUACGUAGAAUACCUUCCACUGAAGGAUGCCAUUUAUGUAUUGCCAGGCUUAGGUAUCAUGGAAAAUGUCUUUUAAGCAGUUUUUUUUGUGCAUGCAGGAACAGAAAAGAUGAAUAUGGGGUUCAGUUCUAGGAAAAAAUCUACAAUUUACCGUAAAUACAAAUUGGAACUGUGUUAACUGCACUGCAUCAAACUGAUGAGUAGUCCAAUAUUUUCACUUCCUCACGUAGUCAAAUCCCGGAACCAGAAUAUAAGCUAUUAUACGGCACAGUUUUAUAUAUCUAUAAUUGAUUUGAACACGUUUGUGUCCCCCCGGUGGAGCUGGAGGAGGUGGCUGGGGACAGAGAAGUCUGGGCUUCCCUACUGAGACUGCUGCUUCCACGACGCGGACCAGCGGACGAAAAUGAAUGGAUGGAUUUGAAUGUUGCAUAACGCAGGGCAAACGUACAUUCAUGCAAACUGGCGACAUCAUAAUGCCGCAAUGCAUUGUGAGCCAGCAAUGCAGCUAUCCUCGUUUUUUUUUUUUUUUUUAACAUUUGUGGCGAUAUCGUAAAUGCUUUAGCUAUAGCCGGGGAGUUUAUUUAAACGGGCCGUUAAUUGGACGCAGGUGGUAAUUGAAGAGAAAACUGAAAGUCCUUAUAUAUACACACCGUAACAACUUUUAACGUUAAUAAUAAUUUGGAGUGCUUGAGAACGUGGAAAGGAAAAUAUAGCUGUCUUUUGACCACGUGUCUGUUUUGGACUAAGUGGUAAGAGGAAACCCUGGCGGCUAUUUGCUUUUGUGACCACUCACCCUGCAACCAUAGGAUCCGCCGUGGUUUAGCAUUCAUGGUGUGUUAACAGUGUCUGAUCCCUGUAAGAAGCAGCUAAUCGGGUCAUGCAUGGCUGUAGAGGACUGCAGUGUAUCCCUCUAGGUAUCUUUGGAGUUAUCUCCUGCAAACACACACAGAACAGCCACAAGCCAACAUUCACACAAUAAGGUCCAACACCUGUGCGCUUUGGAUGCUUUCCAUCUUGAAAAGUUGGACUCGUGCCUACUUUCAGUCUCCAUUUGCGGGAAAUGAAAGGGGAAAAAAAACUUCCUUGGCUAGUCUGAGGAUUUGACCCAUGGAUAAUGCCUGAUUAAUCCUGAUUAUCAUUCAAAGCGCUCAAACGCAUCUUUCAUUUUUAUGUCCGGCUUUGUGUCCAGUUUUCCUGGAAUGCAACAUACAACACAUACUGUACGUUCAAUGUGACGACUGAUAAGGGGGGUGGCGUCCUUGACGGGAAGAUAUGGGGGAAGGGCAGUAUCAGUUUAUGGCCCUGAGGUGCCGGAUAUGUCUGACAAGCCUGCGUUUGAAAGCACCGUCCAGUGGGAACAUUUGGAGUCAGGGAUCAAAAAUGUUUUGGUUUUUUUUGUUUUUUUUAAAGCAACACAUUGUAUUCACCCUCCGGGAAGCACAUAUGCACAAAAUGUUGACUCUCUGUUCCUAAAGUGGCUGUAUUAUUCUUAUUUAUUUUUUUAUUAUUAGGACUGUCAAAAAUAACGUUAACGACUGUAGCCAAUUUAUUCAAUUAAUUACGUAACAUUUUUUAGUGUAAUUAACGCAUGUGCACCAGAGCAAGCACGCCUCUGUUAUGAUGGCAGUCAGAAGCGCAGUGGAGCCUCCGCACACAGUCGCACAGAGUCUGACGCUCUUUUAGAACGUCAUUCUGACCUGAACACAUCAACAGCGGCACAAUCCCAACACCACCAUAUAUACUGUAUGCCAGGGGUCACCAACGUGGUGCCCGCGACCACAUGAGGUGCCCGCAAGCCUGCCUUUCAUUCAGGUUUUCAGUUAAUAAUGAAAGAAAUGCAUUCUGAAAUACAAAAUGUGAGUUGUGGACACCAGCAUUUUGUUAAGGUUCUGGUAAAACAAGCAUAUUCGCUUUGGUUGGGUUUAAACUAAGCUAUGAAAAUAAAUAUUACAAAAAUGAGUAGCUCUUGGCCAUUUUCAUUUUGUAAAAGUAGCUCUCAAGGAAAAAUGUCGGUGACCCCUCCUGUAUGCAUUCUCCAACUCACACACGUCUUUAGUCCUUUCAUGCUGGGCAAGACACUUCCUCAUUCGCAUUACAAGCACGCGAGAUGCAUUCGGAGACAUUCCGGGGCGGGGGCAAAUAAACAGAAAAAACAAGAACAACAUGAAGUGGAUAUUCUUAUCACUCACUUCGCAACACUUUAUUUGGAUGUACCAUUUGCUACAUUUAAGCAUGCUGGAAAAUACACUGAAAACAAAGUUACCUUAAAUUACGUGAUGUCUUUGAACGCAACCCCUCAUAAAGUGUGAUUCAAAUGUUCUGCUACGAUUAAGAUUAGAUUAUUGAGACUACUGUUAGACAAACUGAUUUUUAGACUUGUGUGGUGUUUUUUUAGCUGAUUGACAUAUUCAGUUCAUUUGGAGCCAUUUAUGCAUACAAAUAUAUAUAAUCCUGUCAUCUACAGUAUCUUUCUGUUGAUGAAAUACAGUAAAAAUGGGCAUAUUGCAGACAUAGCUGCUAAUGGGGAUUAAUCAUGAUUCGUUAAUUAAAAAACUGUGAUUAAUCUGAUUAAAAUUUCUAAUAUAGGUGACUUUUGAAGUAUUUUGUGUAUUAUUAUUGUUAUUGAUAUUACUAUAAUUACCAUUAUUACCAAUUUAUUAACAUUAUUACAUUAUAUUUACCAUUAUUACCACAUUACCAUCAUCAUCAUUAUUAGUAUUGAGUAUUAGUAUUAGUAUGAGUAUGAGUAAUAGUUGUGUGCACUUUGAUUACAGACAAUUGUAUUGAGUUAAUGAAUUAAUUUAAACACAAUAUGACGACACGCUUCUGCCUUUUAUGGUAAAGGGCAAGGGUUCGAGUCUCAUCAAUUCCAUUACAAGCAUGAGAGAUGCAUUCGGGGACAUUCCGGGGCGGGGGCAAAUAAACAGAAAAAUCAAGAAAAACAUGGUGGAUAUUCUUAUCACUCACUUCGCAACACUUUAUUUGGAUGUACAAUUUGCUACAUUUAAGCAUGCUGGAAAAUACACUGAAAACAAGGAAAGUUACCUUAAAUGACGUAAUGUCUUUGAACGCAACCCCUUAUAAGAGCAUGCUUUAAAGUGUGAUUCAAAUGUUCUGCUACUGUUAUGCAUACAAAUAUAUAUAAUCCUGUUAUUUACAGUAUCUUUAAAAUGGGCAAUUGCAUUAUAUUUACCAUUAUUACCGCAUUACCAUCAUCAACAUUAUCAUUAUUAUGUGUAGUAGUAGUUGUGUGCACUUUGAUCACAGGCAAUUGUAUUGAGUUAAUGAAUUAAUUUAAACACAAUAUGACGACACGCCUCUGCCUGUUACGGUAAAGGGUGAGGGUUCGAUUCCUGGCCAGGGUUGCGUCAGGAAGGGCUUCCGGCCUUAACCGUUCAUGCAUCAGUUAGUCUCCAUCCAUGCAAAUAAAAUGGUUUAAUGAAUGAAAUCUCCCUCCACAGAUGGACGCAUUGUGGAUCAAUAUUGAGGAUGACGUGGUAAUCAAGCGUAGGAGUCACUGACACCAAUAUCUUUGCAUGUGCCCCGACAUGCCACUUCCUGGGAGAGAAUGCAACAGGAAGCCAGUGGAGGAGCCAACAACGAGAAUGCAGCCCACCUCUACAAGGAGGCCUUUCUUUCCCAAGUUGCGUGCGUGCGUGCGUGUGCGUGUGCGUGUGUGUGUGUGUGUGUGGUGCUGAGGCUGAUAGCGUGCAUAAAAAGCCUCUUGAAGGGCAAGUUUUUUUCUUUCUUUGACAAUCCGGAGUUUGCGGCUGGUUUUGCCUGAUAAUAAUUGGACCCCAUUGGACGUUGUUGCAAUACAGCAGGGGUGUUUUUGCAGUAGGCACUUCAACACAGCAGCCCCCUCCUAUCUUAUUGAGGCUCUGUGACUAAAGUGUUUACAUUUGGGUCUUUAAAAACAGCAGGGCGCUCCCGUCACAUAAAGGAUCUUUGACGAGCGUUUUUCACCGUAGGUCCUUACAAACAGCAGAGUGCUCCUGUCAUAGAGAAGAUCUUUGACUAGUGUUUUCGCAGUAGGUCUUUAGAACAAUCGACUGGUCUUUCUCCUGGGACUCACAUUUUCUCCUAGUUUUAUAGUUUUGGUUGGCCACCGCAUUAUGGACACCCCUGGCCCAGACCAUCAGUCGAGAAGCACUGAUAUAGAGGGUCUUGGACUAGUGUGUUUGCAGAAUAUCCUCAAAAACAGCAGUGUUCCUGUUAUAUACUAAUGGAGGUCAAGGUCAAGGUGAAGUUUCUUCAUAGAGCACAUUUCUAGGCGUUAAUAGGUGUUCCCAGGCCAGCUGUGAGACAUAAUCCCUCCAGCGUGUCCUAGGUCUUCCCUGGGGCCUUGUCCCGGCUGGGCAUGCCCGGAACACCUCACCAGGGGGGAGGCAUCUAGACUAGAUGCUCGAGCAACCUUACCUCUCGAUGUGAAGGAGCAGCGGCUCUACUCUGAGCCCCUGCCGGAUGACUGAGCUCCUCACCACCUUAUCGUGGUGGAGGGGUUUGAGUGCCCGAGUGAUCCGAGGAGCUAUGUUGUCUGGGGCGAUAUGCCCCUGGUAGGGUCUCCCAAGGCAAACAGGUCCUCUGUGACGGGCCAGACCAAGAGUGAUUCAGAAGACCCUAUGAAAAAAACAAAAGGAGGGACCGCACCUCGCCUGGAUGUGGGAUACCGGGCCCUCAUCCUAGAGCCAGGCCUGAGAAAAGGGGCUCGCAGGUGGUCAGGCAUUCACCCAUGGCUGUGCCCAGCCCAAAGAAGGCACAUGGGAUCUCCCACGUAUAGACCCACCACGUGAGGUGGCAAGCAUACGGGUCCGGUGCAAUGUGUUUUGGGUGGCGGUCCAGGGAGGGAACCUGGGCGACCUGGUCUUCGGCGGCCAAAUCUGAUCUCAAUCUAACCCCAAUAACUAACCGGAGCUACGUUUCUCAUCCCCGAAAUCUGACCAGAACUGGGCUCAAGGGACCAAGUGUGGGCUAAGGCACUGUUGAUGGACUACACUGCUGAUGGGGACGUCAUACGACUUCAUGUCAAAAAAUAUGAACUAUCCAACAUUAGAUGCAAAAUAAACGUUUUAUUUACUAUUCAAGUACAAUUAGUUGAAUAGUCCUUACCUGAGUAAAUAUUGUAAAAAGACUUGAAAUACGGGCUGCACGUUGACCUAGUGGUUAGCAUGUUGGCCACAUGUUCAGGAGAUCAGGAAGACUCCUGAAAUACAUGACAUGAUAAGAGGUUAAAAUCACCUCCAUUGCCAUAAGUUUCAAAAUGUUCAUUUGUGACGGGUUUGGUGACACCAAGUGGUAAUUGGCUUCAUUGCAAUGUGGCUUCCUUGCUGUUAAUCAGCAUCUUGAUACAGCAUGUGGUUGGAUUACCUGGGCAAAAGAAGAAGUGCUCACUAACGCCGAUUUGUGAACAAUAUUUUAGAAAAAUUGUCUCUUUGUGUACAUAGAAAAUAUUUUUUUGAGCUUUUGAGUUCAGCUUACAAAAAAUGGGAGCAAAAACAAGUGUUGCGUUUGUGUUUUUGUUGAGUGCAAUAAUCAAUUAUUUAUUUGUUUGUAAUCUGUAUAUGUAUUUUACGAUUAUUCGAUUACAUAUAAUAUUUAAAAUCCUCCGCAAACAUAAACAAUUUACAUUCAUGCAAGUAAACUAUUUGCAUGAGCCGGGAAUGGUGCUUUAAUCAAGUUGUUUCAGUGAACAACAAAAACAAGAGUGUUGAAUUGCAGUUAAAAGUCGGGAUCAAUCGAUCUGAUUGAUGACAAUACCGGUCCAGUAUUGCCGGGACUCUUGACCUGACAUUUCUCAAGAACACUGAAUGAUUUUGUAAUUUUACCUUUAAUCUGUUGCUCAUAAUUAUCAUCAGCACGAUGAUGUUUUUAGGCAAAUAUUUGUGAAUGUACGACAAUGUUACGAUA